rnacentral:rRNA from 1 species
AGGACGAACGCUGGCGGCGUGCUUAACACAUGCAAGUCGAGCGGAAAGGCCCUUCGGGGUACUCGAGCGGCGAACGGGUGAGUAACACGUGAGCAAUCUGCCCUUAGCUUCGGGAUAGCCCCGGGAAACCGGGAUUAAUACCGAAUACGACCUCGGCCGACAUCGGCUUUGGUGGAAAGUUUUUCGGCUAGGGAUGAACUCGCGGCCUAUCAGCUUGUUGGUGGGGUAAUGGCCUACCAAGGCGACGACGGGUAGCCGGCCUGAGAGGGCGACCGGCCACACUGGGACUGAGACACGGCCCAGACUCCUACGGGAGGCAGCAGUGGGGAAUAUGCGCAAUGGGCGAAAGCCUGACGCAGCGACGCCGCGUGGGGGAUGAAGGCCUUCGGGUUGUAAACCCCUUUCAGCAGGGACGAAGCGAGAGUGACGGUACCUGCAGAAGAAGCGCCGGCUAACUACGUGCCAGCAGCCGC